CUYGGAUGAGCAAUGUUUGAUCUUAGUUUCUUUACUGGUGCCAGCUCCCUGCUUCAGUGGCUGCUAGAAGUUCCAGCCCUUGUGCUAAUCCCUGUGCUCCUGCUUCCCAACUGCCCCUCUUCAGCUCUGACCACCAGCUGGUCCCUGGUAUCACCAGGCUCCAACUUGCAACACUGGCACCGCUCGGCCGUGUCGCUCUGCAGCUCCCAAAUGGCUUUUCCACGUUUGCCAGCCACGUGGUGCUGCACCCAUCCCAUUUGCAAGCACCAGGCACGAGGGACGCGUCGGGACUCGCCACAGUCUGCCCACCACUGUUUUAAGUGCACCCUGCCUAUAGAGCUGAGGACUGUUCUGGAGGGUAAUUAGUGCAUGGUUGAGCAGGACUGCUCAGACGAGCUGCGCGGAGCCA